rnacentral:rRNA from 1 species
AGGGUUUGAUUAUGGCUCAGGAUAAACGCUGGCGGCGUGCUUAACACAUGCAAGUCGAACGAAGUUUUUCUUUCGGGAGGAACUUAGUGGCGGACGGGUGAGUAACGCGUGGGUAACCUGCCCUGUACAGGGGGACAACAGCUGGAAACGGCUGCUAAUACCGCAUAAGCCCUUAGCACUGCAUGGUGCAUAGGGAAAAGGAGCAAUCCGGUACAGGAUGGACCCGCGUCUGAUUAGCCAGUUGGCAGGGUAACGGCCUACCAAAGCGACGAUCAGUAGCCGAUCUGAGAGGAUGUACGGCCACAUUGGGACUGAGACACGGCCCAG